UGAAAUGAUGAUCAUAUAUUCACACUGUAUGAAGUGAAAUUUAUAAUUUUGCCUUGAUUAUCAAAAAAAUACAACUGAUUUAAUGACUCUGACC
rnacentral:snoRNA from 1 species